rnacentral:rRNA from 1 species
AACGAACGCUGGCGGCGUGCCUAACACAUGCAAGUCGAACGUGAUUGGAAGCUUGCUUCCAUGAAAGUGGCGCACGGGUGAGUAACGCGUAGAUAAUCUACCUGAUGAUCCGGGAUAACACUUCGAAAGGGGUGCUAAUACCAGAUAAGCCCACGGAGUCCUUGGACUCUGCGGGAAAAGGGGGGGAUCGCAAGACCUUCCGUCAUCAGAUGAGUCUGCGUACCAUUAGCUAGUUGGUAGGGUAAAGGCCUACCAAGGCGACGAUGGUUAGCUGGUCUGAGAGGAUGAUCAGCCAAACUGGAACUGGAACACGGUCCAGACUCCUACGGGAGGCAGCAGUGGGGAAUUUUGCGCAAUGGGGGAAACCCUGACGCAGCAACGCCGCGUGAGUGAUGAAGGCCCUGGGGUCGUAAAGCUCUGACAGAGGGAAAGAAAUGCAGAGUGGCUAAUAUCCACCUUGCUUGACGGUACCCUCAAAGGAAGCACCGGCUAACUCCGUGCCAGCAGCCGCGGUAAUAC